rnacentral:rRNA from 1 species
AGGGCGUACGGUGAAUGCCUAGGCUCUCAGAGGCGAAGAAGGACGUGAUAAGCUGCGAUAAGCUACGGUUAAGCGCAAAUAGCUGAUAACCCGUAGAUUUCCGAAUGGGGCAACCCACUUGGUUGAAGGCCAAGUAUCCUUUUAUUAGGAGGCGAACCCGGUGAACUGAAACAUCUAAUUAGCCGGAGGAAGAGAAAACAAUAGUGAUUCCCUAAGUAGUGGCGAGCGAACGGGGAAAAGCCCAAACCAAUGUCGUUACGGCGAUAUUGGGGUAGUAGGACUACGAUAUAAGACUCAAAAGUGUAAUGGAACUGUUUGGAAAGUCAGGCCAAAGCGGGUGAAAGCCCCUUACAUGAAACACGUUUGAUAUUUAGUAGUAUCCUGAGUAGCGCGGGACCGGAGAAAUCCUGUGUGAAUCAGCCAGCACCAUCUGGUAAGGCUAAAUACUCCUGAGAGACCGAUAGUGAACAAGUACUGUGAAGGAAAGGUGAAAAGUACUCCGAACAGGAGAGUGAAAUAGAACCUGAAACCGUGCGCUUACAAGCGGUCGGAGCCCUAUGGGGUGACGGCGUGCCUUUUGCAUAAUGAGCCUACGAGUUACACCUCUCUAGCGAGGUUAAGGGCGAGAACGUCCGGAACCGAAGCGAAAGCGAGUCUGAAUAGGGCGGUUAGUUAGAGGGGGUAGACGCGAAACCCGGUGAUCUACCCAUGGCCAGGGUGAAGUUCUGGUAACACAGAAUGGAGGCCCGAACCAGUUGACGUUGAAAAGUCUUUGGAUGAGCUGUGGGUAGGGGUGAAAGGCUAAUCAAACUGGGAGAUAGCUCGUACUCCCCGAAAUGCUUUUAGGAGCAGCCUUAAAUUAAUGUCAUAGAGGUAGAGCUACUGAUUGGACUAGGGGGCUUCACCGCCUACCAAAUCCUGACAAACUCCGAAUGCUAUGACAUGAUGUUUAGGAGUGAGGGCAUGGGUGCUAAGGUCCGUGUCCGAGAGGGAAAGAACCCAGACUAUCAGCUAAGGUCCCCAAAUGUAUGCUAAGUUGAUCUAACGAGGUCUGAUUGCUCAGACAGCUAGGAUGUUGGCUUGGAAGCAGCCAUUCAUUUAAAGAGUGCGUAACAGCUCACUAGUCGAGCGAUCGGGCGUGGAUGAUAAUCGGGCAUAAAGUAUACUACCGAAGCUAUAGAUCCGCAAGGAUGGUAGGGGAGCAUUCCAGUCUGCGUAGAAGGGGUUUCGUGAGGGAUCCUGGAGCGUCUGGAAAAGCAAAUGUAGGCAUAAGUAACGAUAAUGCAGGCGAGAAACCUGCACACCGAAAGACUAAGGAUUCCUGAUCAACGCUAAUCGGAUCAGGGUUAGUCGGGACCUAAGGCGUACCCGAAGGGGGAAGUCGAUGGAUAAUCGGUUAAUAUUCCGAUACCGGCAUUAACUGCGAUGGGAUGACGGAGUAGUGAAAGGUUCGCGUACUGACGGAAUAGUACGUUAAAGGGCGUAGGUAAACGAAGAGUAGGCAAAUCCGCUUUUUGUGCUGACCCCCGAUAGUACCGCAAAUCUUCGGAUGAGCGGAUAGUAACCCUAAUCAGACUUCCAAGAAAAAUCUCUAAGCUUCAGGUUAAUGCUGCCCGUACCGUAAACCGACACAGGUAGUCGAGGAGAGUAUCCAAAGGUGCUCGAGUGAUUCAUGGCCAAGGAACUAGGCAAAAUAGUCCUGUAACUUCGGGAGAAAGGACGCCAUCAGCAAUGGUGGCCGCAGAGAAAUGGCUCAGGCGACUGUUUAUCAAAAACACAUGGCUCUGCUAAAUCGAAAGAUGAUGUUGAAGCCCCGGUAAACGGCGGCCGUAACUAUAACGGUCCUAAGGUAGCGAAAUUCCUUGUCGGGUAAGUUCCGACCUGCACGAAUGGUGUAACGAUCUGAGCACUGUCUCAGCCAUGAGCUCGGUGAAAUUGUAGUUCCGGUGAAGAUGCCGGAUACCCGCAACGGGACGGAAAGACCCCGUGAACCUUCACUACAGCUUAACAUUGACUUUGGGUAAACGAUGUGUAGGAUAGCUGGGAGGCAGCGAAUCAGGGCCGCCAGGUUUUGUGGAGCCAACCUUGAAAUACCAGCCUUCGUUUAUUUGAAGCCUAAUCUCGUAAGAGAGACAGUGUUUGGUGGGUAGUUUGACUGGGGUGGUCGCCUCCAAAAGCGUAACGGAGGCUUCCAAAGGUACCCUCAGCAUGCUUGGUAACCAUGCGUAGAGUGCAAUGGCACAAGAGAAGGUCCCAAGGGUUGGGCUGUUCGCCCAUUAAAGUGGCACGCGAGCUGGGUUCAGAACGUCGCGAGACAGUUCGGUCCCUAUCUGUUGUGGGCGUUAGAAGCUUGCGAGGACCUGACUCUAGUACGAGAGGACCGAGUUGGACGAACCUCUAGUGCACCUGUUGUGACGCCAGUUGCAUCGCAGGGUAGCUACGUUCGGAUGAGAUAAGUGCUGAAAGCAUCUAAGCACGAAACUCACCUCAAGAUGAGGCUUCUUUUAAGGGUCGUCAAAGACGAUGACGUUGAUAGGCUGCAGGUGUAAAGUCAGUAAUGGCAAAGCUGAGCAGUACUAAUUACCCGUAGCUUUCUAC